UACAGAGGGUGCAAGCGUUAAUCGGAUUUACUGGGCGUAAAGGGCGCGUAGGCGGUUAUUUAAGUUUGAUGUGAAAUCCCUGGGCUUAACCUAGGAACUGCAUUGAAUACUGGGUAACUAGAGUAUUGUAGAGGGUAGUGGAAUUUCCGGUGUAGCGGUGAAAUGCGUAGAGAUCGGAAGGAACACCAGUGGCGAAGGCGGCUACCUGGACAAAUACUGGACGCUGAGGCGCGAGAGCGUGGGGGAGCAAACAGGG
rnacentral:rRNA from 1 species